rnacentral:lncRNA from 1 species
AUGCAGGAUGUGGGCAAGCUGACAACUGCAUCUGCCGCCAGAAGGAAUGCUGAGGAUGGUCAUGCCGUAGUCCCAAACCAACAGCCACAAGUGGUGCCUAAUCAGGGACGUGAAGGAAGAAGAUCUGCUGGAGCAGAGAAACUGAAACUGACCAGAUGAGUGAGAAACCCCAGGACAAAUCUGCUGGCAGAGGAUAUAAGGAGAUGGACAAACCGUGCGGGUGCCCUCUAGGUGUGUGCGACCAUGGAAUGGGGGACUGGAGGGAUCUGUGGAUCCCAACCAUGCGUCCGGUUCCCCCAGUAUGAGCCAUGAGCCAGUGGAAUCUGAAUGCGAAGACAGAAUGGGGGCCAACCGGAGUCACAAUGACAUCAACCCCCAUAACAUGGGGACAGAUCAAGAAAACCACACAGGAAGUUGAAAAACUGCUGGAGCGCCAGGGUCAGGCAAAAACCCCAGACUCCAUGUUUAUGGCCAUGCUAGCUGUAAUAUCCUGUGAGGUAUGUUUUCCCUGUGCAGAGGCAAAAACAUAUUGGGCAUAUGUUCCUAACCCACUGGUAGUGUGACCAUACUCUGGAACGACACUCCUCCUGAGAUAUAUCAUGAUCAAGGAGCAUAGGCACCAGGACCCCUAAUCUCCCCUGACACAGAGCAAUUAGACUCUCAGAACAAUGGUAUCAAUUAUACCACUCCAUUGGAGGAACUUCCUUUAUGCGUCACCCAGGAUACCUCACUCAACUGCAGUUGCCUUGCAAUUCAAUCCCAAGCAUGGCUGAGUUACCAUGGAAAUAUUAUGUACCUAUUAGGCCUUAGCUCUAUUAAUAUUACUGGUGUGGUUACUAAUCACUCCCGGCCCCAUCGCCCAAAUUGUAUUGAUUAUACAGAAUGGGCUCCCUUUGAUAAUUCUCACCCCUCUCCUUGGGCCCACUGUCUUGGCCCCUUAGCUAGACAACAGUCCAUGUUAAUGGGAGACAUUAUUGACUGGGGUCCCCGUGGUCAUUUAGAUGGGAGAGAUGAGAAUCAGACCUCACGGCAUAAGCUUCACUAGCACUGGUGGCAAAACUUUAACAUCUCUUCACUACAUCACACUGGGAUUCAAUCCCAAUCUGUCACGUAACUUGCUUGGCACGGAAUGGGCUUUAGCCCACCUUUGCCUCAAUGGCAUUAUCAAGGAAAGAGAGGUCCAAUUAGGAGUCGAUAUGGAAGGCACUCCCGUUUAUGAAUGGCAGCAUUUGGGUUGGGACACUACCCAAUAAUAGUAAUAGUGCUCAACACAGUUUUAAUGUUACCUUUAUAGAAAAUAUUACCACUCAAUUUACAAUUUGUGUUUUUUUUGUUUUUUUGAGACAGAGUCUUGCACUGUUGCCCAGGCUGGAGUGCAGUGGUGCGAUCUCAGCUCACUGCAAGCUCUGCCUCCCGGGUUCACGCCAUUCUCCUGCCUCAGCCUCCCAAGUAGCUGGGACUACAGGCACCCGCCACCACGCCCGGCUAAUUUUUUUAUAUUUUUAGUAGAGACGGGAUUUCACCCUGUUAGCCAGGAUGGUCUCGAUCUCCUGAACUCGUGAUCUGCCCGUCUUGGCCUCCCAAAGUGCUGGGAUUACAGGCGUGAGACACCGCGCCCAGCCUACAAUUUGUGUUUUUAAUCCCUAUGUCUUUCUAGCAGCAAAAAAGGACCAACUCCAGGUAAACGAUGCCCAAUUGGCUUGUGAUUCCUGUCAGCUGUAUAAUUGCCUUAAUCAUAGCACAAUACAAACACACAGCAUAUCCACCCUAAUAAUUCUAGGUCGCAUUCCCGGAUUAUGGAUUCCUGUAAAUCUGUCCAAGCCUUGGGCCCCUGCUUUGCAUUUUGUAAAACUCCUUAUUACUCAGCUUACUCAUCGUGCUCGUAGAGCCUUAGGCAUGAUAAUUUUUGCUAUAGUAUCCUUAGUCACAUUAAUAACCUCUGUUGUGGUGUCCUCCGUAGCACUGCAUAACUCCAUUUAAAUAGCUCAAUAUGUAGAAAAUUGGACGUGUAUAGCCAACCAGGCAUGGAUGCUUCAAAAUAAAAUUAACACCGAGAUAC